rnacentral:lncRNA from 1 species
UUCCGGUUCCUGCAAAACAUGAGUACGAGGACCCCAUAAUAUGACAUAAAUAGAUAAAGAAAAACAAUCGAAAGUGACAAAAUAAAAGAAAGAAGAAAACACUUUCCAUCGUAGAAAACUCCACCAAUCUUUUCUUUAGAUGUCUUAAUCACAAAACAUAUGAGCAAUCCACUGUCCAUGCACUGACAAAACUACACUCUUCUCUUCUCUUUAUUUAUGUUCCCAUAUACCGGAAAUAUAUUUUUAAAUAUUCAAGUAUAUUAUAUAUAUUAUCAAUCUAAAAAAAAUUCCAUAAAAAUAAGUAAUUACAAUUAAUAUAUAUGAAAGUAGAAAAUGUAUAUAGCUGGAAUCAGCUGGAGCUAAUCAUAUCAAAACAGGAAUAGAGUCUAUCCCUGUCGGGCCACGCUUGGUUUUUUUGUUAGGACAUCUUUGUCUUCCAUGUACAGACAUAUACCCAAUGUCCUUAUCAUAAAAAUAGAAAUGUUAUAAUUCUCAAAAGAAAAAAAAAAUGUUAUGAGGGUCCAUUUUAUUAAUUUGUUUAAUAUUAUAAAAAAUUAUUGAUCAAAAUUAAAUCUUAACUUAAAAUUAUAUAAUGACUUAUUCACCUGUUAUCUAUUUAAUAUUUUUUAAAAAUUAUUAUUGAUGGGAAUUAUAUUAUAAUUUCAAAUUUUACACCGAUUUAUUAUUGCAUUAUUGACACAUUAUCGCAUAAAAAAAAUAAUACCCUUUAAUAUAAAACUAAUCAUUUAUUAUAUCAAUUAAACUUACAUAAUUACACAAUGUCAAAAAUAAUUAUACAACUAAUUAAAUUUACUAAUUAAUUAAUUAAUUAAUUCCACAUAACUCGUGCUUAUAACUUUCUUUUCCCUAAUUAUUUAUUUUUGGACAAAAGAAAAACAAAUGCUUCAAUUUGUAACCUACUAAGAAACUACCAAGAAACUAGUCCAUAAUAGAACAAAUUAACAUUAAAAAGAGAAUAGUUAAAUUCCAAUCUGCAGAUCCAAGGAAAUAGACUCGGUUGACUUUUUAAGGUCAACCAUAUUAAAUUAUAAUCUAAAACAUUUUAACAGAUUUAUAAAUUUUAAUUCCUAAAACAAAUUAAUAAUUUAAUUUGUGAGUGUGAAUUCUAGUUAAAAUAUACAUAUUAUGGAUCAAACUUGACCUAAUAAUACUGAAAUUCAGAUUUAGAAUUAUGAAUUUGUGAGCUUCAAUUCUAAUUAAAAUUUAACUAUUGAAAAUAAUUAAGAUAGUAUAAUUAUUGAAUUAAUAAUUUAGUUCAUUUUUUUAUAAUAAAGAGGAUUGAAAUUUAAUAAUAUAAGAUUAUAGGGAAGGUAAAUAUGUCUUUUAAAUUCAAUUCAUCAAUUAAGGAUAGUUAAUAAAUAAAAUCCACUUCAUUUAAAAAUGAUGAAAUAUAAAUUUUAAAAAUAAAAUGUAAUUUGUCCUCUAAUUCAUUUGUAUUCAUAGUGAAAUAGAAAUAAAUAAUAAGACAAAUGUAUUUAAUUUUAUGGGAUACGAGUAUUAAAAAAUCCCAUUACUACACCAAAUCAAUUCAAGAAAUUGAAAUUAUUAAUUUGUUUAGUUAAUUAAACUAAUUAAAGUCCUUAAUUUGAUAAAUAUAAUAUAAAUUAUUAAGUAACAAAAUCCAAAUACAAAAAUCCGUUAAAAUGCUGCAACGGAGUUUAAACGCGUGACAGCAGCCAAAGUAACAGUCUCUUAACAGACAAUAUAAGUCACGACUCUGUCUCUCUGGGUCUUAAGCGCCAGCGAAAUUUAGGACUAACAACAUAUAUAGCAGAACUCGGAGAAGCAGAAGCUAAAGAUUUUACAAUAUCUUUUAUUAUUAUUAUUAUUAUUAUAUUUUUGUUAAAUAUAAUUUGUAUUGAUUGGAAAGCAAACAACCUAUAAAAGCUUCAAGCUUAACCAGAAACCAGAGAAAAAAAAAAAGUGUAAAAAAAAGGGUGACGGAGAGUGAUUGUUUUUCUUGGCGAUUGAACCCGGAUCCGACAUCGUCGGACCCACCCAUUCACCAACUUUCCUACCACCCGCCGUUCUAUUCUCCCUCUCCCUCUUUCAGUGUUUCUGUUUCUUUUGGGUGUUUAUUUGCAGAAAGAGGGAGAGAUCCUUUAACCUUUUCUCUUCUUUCUUCUUCAGGUUGGUAAUUUGUUUACAUUUUUUUUUUUUUGUAAAAACUGGGUUUUGGUUAAAAUUUUCAAUAAUACAAGUAUAAUAUAUAUAUAUUUUUUGGUUAUCUAUAAUCAUAAUGGCUUUUAAAAAAAAAAAAUAUUUUUUUCCAGAAUUAAUUUUGUUUCAAUUUUUGCUUAUUGUUAUUAGUUGAAUUAAAUAUAUAUCUAUUUGAUUCUUUAUAUAUAUUCAUGUUAUUCACCUUAUUGUCUGUUUCUUUCAUUGUUUUCCUUGUCUAGUUAUGUAUAUGCAUUUCCUUUUUUUCCUAUGAUAUAAUGUCAACAUUUUCAUCUUUUCUAUUGAUAUGGAUUUUAUAAUCCAAUUUUACUUGUUUUUGUCUUUUUUACCUUGUAGGAUAUGGACCCUUUAUCAUACUUUUGCUUGGUUUCUCUUCAUAUAUUUUUCUCAUUUCAGUUUCUUAUUUAACUUUGAAGAAGGUGCUUCUUUUGCAGUGAGCAGAGGAUCUCUCUCGCUCUCUAUUAGUUUUCAACUUUUUCAACAGGGUAUGUAGUUUUUCCCCAGUAAUUUAUUUUAAUUUUCUCUUUGUUGUGUUAUAUUUCAUGUAGCUUUCUAAUUUGCAAAGUUUUUAGCAAUGAUAUAAUGCUUAUUUAGGAUAUUGUAAUGCCAGUAGGAGAUUGGUUAGUAGGUAUAAUUUCUUGAGAUCUCAAUACUUUUACUCUUCUAUUAUCAUUUAGUAAAUUUGAGUUUUGUUAAAAUUUUUCAUUAAUCUUUAAUACAAAUUUUGUUGUUGUAUGCAACUAUACAUUGUUAUUUGACCAAUUCUAAGAAUAAUUACUCAUCUGACUUGCUUAGCUGAAAAUUUGUAUCUUUCUUUUUGGAUUUCUGUCUCUUAUGCUAUGCAGAAGGCAUUUGUCUCAAAGAUUGAUUUUGGUAUCUUUUAACUAUGAUAUUUUUGUUGUUGACAGGUUUCUGUAACCAAGUAGCUAGCUAUAAUGGGAGGCUGUUAUUCUACUCCACCCAAAAAAAUUGAAGUGCACAAGAAGAAACACCAUCACCGAUCUGGCAAACGCCGCGUGAAGAUAUUUAGAUCUCAUGAUGGAAGUAAGAAAAGGAAUGGUGAUACUGGACGUGUGACAGAUUUUGCUUUGAGUCAAUUUGUCCAUAUGGAUUUUGACGAUGGUCAAACUCCUAGCAUCGUCAAAUCCAGUGCCUUGAAUUCAGCAUAUCAUCUUACCCAGAUGCAAUGGCACCUCAGCCAAGUGAACUCUGAUGGUAUGUCUUAGCAUAAGUAACUGUCAUUUUUCAGCUAUAUCUUUGUAGUUCAUAGAUUAUACUGUUUAACAUAGAGUAUAAAUGUUCCAAAAGAUUUCAAUGGAUAGAAUUUCCUCAUUUUCCUUUAUCUGUUUUUUGGUAGUUUCUAUAUGUUUAGCUAGUUGUUUUCUCCCCAUUCAUUUUUGUGUUCAGUCAAUGGUUUCUGCCUGUGCUUAUUCCAAAAUAUGCAUGUCCUUGGUUAUGAUCAUUCCCAUUAAGGCAUGUUCCCUCUAGUUUUAGAGGCACUACUAAAGAUACACCUGUACAAUAUAAGAGCUUGAGAAUUGAUUUGAAAAGAUUGUGUUUGCAGGAGUUUGCCAAGAGGAAGCUUGGUUUGAUUCAGUCAGUAUUCUAGAAUCUGAAUCUGAUGAUGAAUUCAGUAGUGUGCUUGGAGGUAACAAAUGCUGAAUUUCUUAACUAAAUUCAUAAGAUCUGACCUCUUUUUUUCCUUUUCUGUUAAAUGUUAUUUAUCUAUCUGUGCAAUUUCUUACUAGUUAAAUUAUUUAUCUGCAGACCGGUUUUCAUCAGUAGGUACUUCCAUUGGAAACAUUUCUGGUGGACAAGUGCUUCAGUAUGAAAGUUCUUCAUGCUUCAUGGACGGAAGGGGUAAAUAUGAAGAAUACCAUCAAAGUUACGUGAAAAUAGAUGGAAAUAAGAUGGGCAUAAAUGAAUAUAAGGAAUCAAAAGGGUUCACACUUACUGGUACCCAAGCUUAUGAGCUUUCAUGCAUGGGGAUGGCUGAGGAGAACAGAAGAAACAAAAUGUUGGAUAAUUAUGGAAGCUUCAAAGCUCUAAAAGAAGAUAGAUGCGACUCACAAGGGAAUACCUUAAAAUCUGGCAUAGCUCGGUUGGUUCCUACUGUAAGUUUCAAUGACAAGGUUAUAAGUGCUUCAACUCAAAAAACAAAAUUAGCAGUUUUCAGGCUCUCUUUUAAGAGGAAAUCAUGCGAUGCAGAAGAAACCAAUGAAUGUUGUAAGUAGUCAGGUUACAAGUCUAUUGAGUAAUUCAACUUUUCUUUUUUAAAUUGACAUUCCCAAAAAUUCCUACAAAUUCCAUUCAGCAUAUGAAUUGUUUGAUAAUGAUAUUUCAAUUUUAUGUGGUUAUGAUCAUGUGCUUGUGUAACACUCCGUCAAUCAAUUAUUGAUAUAUAUGCAGGCGCAUCAAAAAGAUUCUUGUAUCGUCCGAAAGCAGGAUAUAUCAUUCCACGUGGCAUGGGAGAAAAGACAACUACAGGAUGUUGGUCUGAGAUUCCUCCCUCCAAUUUUAAACUCCGUGGCGAGACCUAUUUCAAGUAUGCUACUGAGUUGCUCUGACCAUCCUUGACUGGAUGCUAAAGCAGUUAAACCAAGUAGUUAUUCUGUUGUUGUCUUUGUGAUUAGAUAAAGAUAUAAUUGUAUAAUGAUCUACAAUGCAGAGAUAAGAGGAAAUGCCCUGCUCAAAAUUGCAGUCCAUAUACCCCAAUUGGUGUUGAUUUGUUUAUCUGCCCAAGAAAGGUUAAUCACAUUGCACAAUGCCUGGAGCUUCCUAAUGUCAAAGCUGAAGGCAAAAUCCCUUCUCUUCUAAUUGUAAAUAUCCAGGUAUAGUUAUGUUUCAAACAUACCGCAUAUUUACAGUAUACUUGAAUUUUAAAACAGUUUUUUCAAUUUGUAAAGCUAAUAGUAUAGUGGCUUCUGGGCAGUUUUAUUUAUGUUGUUGUGUCCAAACUGCAGUUGCCUACUUAUCCUGCUGCGAUGUUCCUUGGUGAUAGUGACGGGGAAGGGAUGAGUCUUGUACUGUACUUUAAGGUUUCUGAGAAUUGGGAAAAAGAAAUUUCUUCUCAAUGUCAGGAAAAUAUUAAGGUAAGUUUUCUAUGAAUUGUCUUUUUUUGUUAUUGUACCGCAGCGUACUUUGUUUCUUUGUUUUAGUUAGUUAGUUAUUUAUAUUUUCAGAAGUUCUAUCUAUAAUAUAAGCGACUCCCAGAUUUGUUUUUUUUAGUGUUGGGAGGUGGUUUGUGCAGUUGAUUAUUGUAACUAUUGUUCUGAGAUUAUCUUAAUUUUUUUGUUUGGCAAUGUUAAUUGGUUUUGUUUAAAAUUUCCAACAAAAAGCAGAAACUGGUCGAGGAUGAGAUGGAAAAAGUUAAAGGGUUUGCAAAAGAAUCAAAUAUUCCUUUCAGAGAAAGACUAAAGAUCAUGGCUGGUUUAGUCAAUCCUGAAGAUCUGAAUUUAAGUUCUGCCGAAAAGAAGCUUGUUAACGCUUAUAAUGAAAAACCAGUCCUUUCUCGUCCGCAACAUGAAUUUUAUAAGGUAAUUCUUGUCUCAAAUUUGGUUUUGUCAAAGCUUAAGCUAAACAUAACUCUGUUGAAAUUCCUUAUAAUUUGGUUUUGCAUUCAUAUGAUGUCAAACUAGACAUAACAUGUUCCUUUUAGGACAGGGUCUGUUUGUGGUUUGCUGACAAUGUAUCUAUAUAUCCUGCAGGGCCCUAAUUAUUUUGAGAUUGAUCUAGAUAUUCAUCGAUUCAGCUACAUAUCAAGAAAGGGACUUGAGUCAUUUCGAGAUCGUCUUAAAAAUGGAGUCCUUGAUCUUGGUUUAACUAUCCAGGUAAUGAAUCAUGCUCAAAAUAUUCAUUUAUUGGAUAUUCUUAAAGGUAUUUAGGUGUUUAAUCCUCAAUCCAUUCUCUACAAAUCUAGAUGGAUGCCACCUGAUUAUGAGUAUUAUCUGCAAUAUUAUUACGUGCAACGAGACGUGCACCGUGUCGUAUGCAUUUAAUCUUUCUACAUUCUCAGACUAACUUAACAUUCUAUAAGAUAGGCACAAAAACAAGACGAACUUCCAGAGAAAGUGUUAUGCUGUUUGAGACUGAACAAGAUUGAUUUCGUUGACCAUGGUCAAAUACCCACACUUAUGACUCCUGAAGACAGUUGAUAUGUAUUUAUGAAGAGUAGGACAGUUGAAAGGUAAAGAAAAUCCAUGUAAUGAAGAAGAUGCACAUUCUGAGAAACUCAUGGAAAGGAAUUCUGCAAUUAGUGGAUGAGAGGAAGAAGGCACUCCUUAAUUCCCAAUUUUGGAAUUCAAAUAUGUAGAUGUUAUUCAAUUAUGUUCUUUUUUGCUUGUUAACAAGUAUAUUCUUUUCCAAAAUUUUAAUUGAUAAAAAAAAAAAAAAAAAUACAGCAAUAAGAAAGUAUUCUGAUACGUGAAUUUUACUUGUUUAAAAUAAUUAAUAAAUUGAUACUGAACUUUCUUUUCUAGAAAAUAAUUAUGUUUAAGAAGUUUAUCAAAGUAUGUAAAUUAAAAUAAUACUCUUAAUUUAUGUAUAUUCUCUACAAGUAUAAUGUUCAUGUGUCAACCAAACACGAGAAAUCUUAUAUUUUCGAGCCAUUUCCCAUAAGUAAUGUUCUAUGAUUUUUACAUAUUAUCAUAUUAUACUCAUUUAAUUUCAUUUUGUUUACUUGUUAUUCUUUAUUGGAUAUUCCCAAAAUGUAUGCAAUAUUUCUAAAUUUAUACAUGUAAACAAUUAUUUUUUCCAUAAUAACAUUUAUAAUUAUUCAUUAAAUGAAUGGUUUUUAUUAAUAUCUUAAUGAGUUGAGGGUAAAAAAUGAUAAAAUAAUUUUUAUUGAUUAAAUUCUUAAUAUUCUUAUUUUAUCGAGAGUAUAAUAUUCGCUAAUUUUCAAAUAUUACUUUUCUCCACAGGUCAGUACUUCUAGAAUUUUAUUAAUUUUGUUAAUUUAUAUUAAAUCUAUUUGAUUCUAAGAAAAUAAAAUAAAACUAUUUAAGUCUUGUGGUUUAGAGCUCGAGUCCUCUCAACAAUAAGAGUUUUUAUUAAUUUGAGAAUUACUCUUAUUAUGUAGUAUACAAUAUAAUUUUAGCAAAUUGGGCCUCUAAUAAAAAAAAAAAAAAAAAAAAAACUUUUUGAAUAAAGGAUCAAUAUGUUAAGUUUAUCAAAAGAACUUUGCAGUUAAUUUUUAAAAAAUAAAAGGAUUUAUAUGUUAGUUUUAUUAUAAUUUAGGGACCAAAAAUUUGUAUCCCUUGUAAAUAUGAGAAAGAAGAGGGGCAAGAGAGAAAAGAAAAUUAGGGUUAGCAGGAUAUAAAUAGAGAAGAAAAGGGAAAAGCAGAGCAAAGACGCCUGAGGCCGAGCGCUUACCUCAUGAGUAAGGGGUGGCGUGGUAUUCCACGGAGAGAGGUUCUAAUCGUGGCGCAUGUUAGAGCGAUGGGCGUACAAUAACAGAUAACUUGGGGCCGCCAUGGCCGCUUUGCUGCUUUAGUCUUGCAGCCAAAGCGAGGGGAUUGCCCUACAUUUUCAUUUCUUCAAUUUCUUUUUUUAUCCAUUUUGCUAUCUAAGAAUUCUUCCGUUUUCUUUUUAAAUGGAAAAUUUUAAUUUUUUUAUGAAGUUUUGAAAGGAAUUUUUUUUUCAACUUCUAAAUUUCAAUGAAGCUUGUAGCUUUAUCUGCAAGUUGGGUGGGUUAAUUUUCAUAAUUUAUUU